UCAUGUGUAACUUGCCUCUAACUCGCUCAUCUCUCUGCGCUAUAGAGUCGCAAUGUUUACUACCUGGAAUGCACAGACGUGAUUGGCUGAGUAGUAUCAUGUGGGAUAGCUUAACUCGCAUGCAAUUGGUCUGUGCGUUUCCUCAUCCACUAAACCACUACUGUAAAGGCUAAAAGAGCUGCGCCGAUUAAAAUAGAAACGCCCCGUCAGGUUUAAAUCAUAACGUUAUGUUUUGGCUGUAGGUCCAGGUCCGUAUGGGACAGCUUUUGGGUCCGGACCCGGAGCGUGGUCCGCCUGUUAGUGACUUCUGGUCUAGACUGUAUCUUGGUCUACCUCUCUGACACUAGUCAGGCUGUCAGUGUGACCCAGCAGGGAUCCAGAGGAAGGAUCACUUUCAGCUGACUAAUGGAGGAUUUGGCUGCAGCCUGAGAAACUGAAGAAACGUAGCUCUUAGCCAUUUUGCUUCAGCACUGCCAGCUUUUAUCUGUGCAUGUCAAGUCGGUUUUUAUGUGUAGAGCCCCACAUCACAUAGAAGCCAGUUAGUGCCACGAAUCCGAGCUUUGUCGUUACCAGCUUGGUUUGACGAUGCUUUUGUUCAUGUGCAACUCAGCAGAAUACUGAACACUGUGAUCAGCUGUUUGUCACUGAACCCUCCUUCCACUGAAACCUCCCUUCCGGAACUCUCUCCAGCUUUUAGUGCAGCCAUUCAGAACAUCACGUUCAAUUUGGGAUGAAAAUGCACCAUAUGAACUAGUCUGAGUCCUUGAGUUUCUGUAUCUGGCAUGUGAAUCAAAGAACCACGUAUUCUGUGAAGCGGCUGCUCGUGUUCUGUUCUGAGGAGCUGCAGCUGCCAGCAGUGAACUGGAUCUCUACCUCUGAAACAGCUCUGCUCUGGGAGGUACCACAGAGGAUCAGCCUUCAAGCAGCCGCCCUUGGUGAAAUAAAUGUGCAUUUAUUUUAAACCAGUAAAAUGCACAGUCAUGGUCAAAGAAUGAGGAGCCAGUUGGUUUCCUAUAAGCCAGAGCUGCACUCGCAGCGCUCACAUUACUUUCUACUGGUUUAACCAUUCUGUGAAGAAACCGAUGGAAGAAAAAAGAUUUCCCAUCACGUCAACUGCGGCAGCACUAAUGCAACAGAGAGAGGAGACGGUGUCUUCCCACUGUGGGACAUACAUACAAUCUGACAAGGAGAAGAGAGAUUCAAAUCAGAAACAGCUGAACCGUCUGUUUUGUCUUUGUCUACCGCCUCCACCUGGAUUCACACAGGCAUCCACCUGACUGCUGAGUCACUGCACUCUGUUUGUGCAGCUGAACACUCCCCAGGUGGCUCUCAUCCUCCCGCCUCAAAGAGGACGCAGCCUCAUAUCAGUGCUCUGGAAACUGCAUCUCUUUAUCACUGUGUCAUGAUAGUAAUGUCAUUUAGCAGCCAAUCAUGAAGUCCUUGUGAUUCCUGCAGCUAGUCCAAGUUUAUGUAGGUUAGGUCCAUGUGACGUUGUCAAAAUCACCAACAAUUACAUACUUCUCUUGUUAAUUUCAACAGAUAUCAUUUCUCAUAUAUUGCAGCAAAAAGGAUGUGCCUCUGUGUUAGCCUCCACUGGAAGCAGGAGUGUGUGCGUUGUGCAGGUUAGGGCUGACCCCGAAUCGCAUGAUGAUGGCAAAAGUUUGGAUUAUCACACAUUCAGGGAAAGUAACGUACAACCCUAGUGCAGCUCAGAGAAGGCUGCUCCGGUGUCUGGCUCAGAAGUUGUUUUGCUGACUUCGUGGACAGUCAGCGCUGGAGCGGAGAGCAUCACUACGGCCGCCAGAUACCGGCCACGCUGCCCUGUAUUUACAUUAUAUUUCCAAAAAAAGUGACCAACAAAAUGCAAGUCAACUCAGGUUGUAAUUGAUUUAUAGGGAGCAGCUCUAGUACAGACUGACAUCUGCUGCUCGUGAGCACCUGGCACCUGAACCGACAGCUGAGGAGCUUUAAAAUAAAAGGCACAGUGUGAAGGACAGACGGAACUCUUCCACAGCAGCCUGACAAAGCAGCUCUGGGAUCAGCUGCUGCUUCAACACAGUGAAUGAGCUCAGGUAGUUGGAAGAUAUUCAAAGCAGAACCUGAUUUUGUGCCAAAGAUGGUCUCCUUAAUCUGAUACGUGUGGUGCACGUCGAGCUGUCAGUGCAUAUAGCCUCCUCACCCAACUAUGAAAUGUAAGAAUCAAGCUCUUUGACUCUUUUUCACUGUAGCAGCACUAACAAGCCUAAGUGUGAGGAAACAACAAAUCAAAGAAAGGGUGGGGCGCAUCUGGUCACAUAUAGUGUGUUUAAAUAACCCAGAGUGCAUUUGCUGGGGCAUGGUUUAUUUCAUGGCGUGGAUGCUUUUGUUUUGCAAUGAAGCAGUUGACUUCCGGUUUUGAGCCGUGCACUUUUGUUUUGAGUGCACGCUUCCUGUGUAGUGUUUAGGGUGAUGUAGCUUACUGUACGAAGCUGACUGAGAUGGAGUACUCUUGGACAUUAGUUUCAUACUGGCAGCCCCUCUGAAAGAGGCACAAGCUCUUAUAGUCGAGGAUGGUGUAUGUAAAGCAUAAGGUUCACAAAAGGAAUAAAACACCAAAAUCACCAGUAAAGUACCAAAAUCACCAGUAAAGUGCCAUC